UCUCAGGGGUUGGAGAACUUUUACGGUGUGUGAAGUUCACGAUCAAACCCUUUGAUAAGAAGGGAGAAAGUUUGAGUACAGUAGUGACCUGGGAUUGAGAGCACCAGCGCUGUGGUCCGCCGUCUCUCAGCCCCACAACCGUCGACACAUUUAACGCAACAGAGCAACAUGAAAGUAACAGAGGUUGGCGAAUGUGAUGCCAAGACCAGCUACACCUGGAACACACAGGCGCACAACAGCGUCGAAGCUCGGCGAGAAGUCGGGGCGUGCGGAUGGUUUUGAGCGCUUGUGUGCGGUGCUUGAGAUAACAGCUGGUUUCCAUGGAAACAACUUCUUCACUUCAUAUGGAUCAGUGUCAUGAGUUUUAAACCAAGCCAGGCCUGAUGGACUAAAACAGGGAGGUUUGGUUGAUCCACAAAGAUGUUAUUUACAAAGGCGGCAUCAAAAUUGACAAUAAGGGCGGCACAGAGGAGGAGCACGUAGACGCGUACCAUUGUCCUCUCCACCGGACUUCACUCCCAGCA